GCACCAGACAACUUUGCAGUGGGCAUGAUUAAAAAAAAAGAACCAUUAGAUUUGGUUUACAAAAUUUUAUUGUUCAAAUAUAUCGUGUAAAAUACUGUCAUGUAAAGAAAAGGACCUUUUUAGAGAGAAAGAGACGGACGUUGAAGUUGGGUGAAUGUUUGUUUUGGUUUUUAAGCCAAUUAUUUAUGGUAGUAUUAUAAUUAUUUGCAGGAACUGUUGGCGGCUGUCAACGAACGAGACAGGCUGGUGCAAGAGAUGGAUGAACAAGAGAAAGCGAUAGCCGACGACGACGCAAUAGAGCGCAACCUCUCACAAGUGGAGAUACAAAGAAAGAACAACUGCAUACUGCAGUGAACGACGCCAGUAGACGUUCGUCGGAGCGCGCUAGUAAUGCUACGGAUUAUACUAUUGGACGCGAUUUGGACAAUGCAUUUACAUUAAACUGCGCAAAGUAGCGGUCGUAAGCCGCGGACGUGACUUUGGCUCAAGGUGCAAAUGUGACCUUGGAUAGAGAAGCGGACGUGACCUUGAAACAAGUUGCGGACGUGACCUUGAAAAAAAAUCGGACGCGACCUUGGAUCAAGAUGCGGACGUGACCUUGAACCAAGUUGCGGACGUGACCUUGAACCAUCUUUGAGCGAUCAGACGUCCAACAACGAUCUAGCUUAGGCAUGGAAAUUAUUGCAAUUUUUAAUUUAUUAUUUUUUAUUAUCACAAUCACAUGUGAGCAAAGGAUAGGAGUGAUCUGCGUCCGCAGUGAAUAUUAGGUGCCGUUUAAAGUAAAGUUUAUGUUAAGCGCACUAAAGUCUCUAUUCGUCCGCUCUUUACGGACCAGUGGACGGUUUGCUGCGAUUCCAUUCCACUCUUAGCUGUAAACAGCCGAUGACUUACGAGUGAAUCCGAACGCAACACUUAAAGAGCCGACAUAUUGCGGCCGAACGUCAAAAGAACAUUCUUCUAUUCGGUUGAUAGUUUUCAUGGACCAUAUAGUCCCUGUGUUCGCGUAGAUAUAGCUGCUAUUAAAAAAGUCUAGUCUAAUGAAGAGACAUAGAAGGAGUAAUGUAAAAUUUUAUGUAUCUUAUGCUAUUUCGCAUGUUACUUGUGAAAUAUUCCAAGCCUAAGCUCGCUAGAUGUUUUACACCCCUAAGGAGAGAAAGAGACGGCAGUCUGUCCAUCUCGUGUCCAUCUGUGACAUAGAGACGUCCGAUAGUAUGUUUGUAGUUAAAUACUUUAUUGGAAAUUCACACUAACGUUUUUGGGGCGUUCAGUUUGUUUGGACUUUUAAAAUCGGCGGUUGGGACGCGCUAAUACGCAAUAUGGGUAGUUAUAUGAUUUCUAUAUGUACGUUCUGUGACUUUGUUCAAUAUUUUACAUAUCUAAAUGAUAUAAAUAUAUUACACUAUUGUGUUUCUCGAUUUAAUUGUUAACAUAUUAUUGUAUACAAUAGGAUGUAAAAAAAUCCUUUUUUUAAAAAGUCCUAGAGGAAAAGGUAUUUGUUUAAGUAGUGAUAUCUACUUUUUUUGGGGUUUUAUAAUAUAUUAUUUUUUUAAUUUUGUGUUAAACUUGAUAUUUUAUGGAUGUGAAAUAUUCAAUGAAUCGCAGCGUUUGAAACGCCCAGAAAACGUCCAGUGUGGACACGACAUUACAAGCGUAAUAUUAUUUUUAAAAUAUGUUUUCGGGUACUAAUUAAGGCCUGUCAUUAAAAAGACGGGUGAAGAGUUGUGGACAGUCCAUUAGUAUAUAAAAAAAAAAA
rnacentral:lncRNA from 1 species